rnacentral:Y_RNA from 1 species
AGCUGGUCUGAGUGUGGUGGUGUUUAUAACUAAUCGAUCACAACUAGUUACAGAUUUCUUUAUUCCUUCUCCACUCCCAUUGACUAGCCUUAA